rnacentral:rRNA from 1 species
AACGAACGCUGGCGGCAGGCCUAACACAUGCAAGUCGAACGAGAAGCUGGAGCUUGCUCCAGUGGAAAGUGGCAGACGGGUGAGUAACGCGUGGGAACCUACCCUGGGGUACGGAAUAACUUCGGGAAACCGGAGCUAAUACCGUAUACGUCCUUCGGGAGAAAGAUUUAUCGCCCUUGGAUGGGCCCGCGUCGGAUUAGCUUGUUGGUGGGGUAACGGCUCACCAAGGCGACGAUCCGUAGCUGGUCUGAGAGGAUGAUCAGCCACACUGGGACUGAGACACGGCCCAGACUCCUACGGGAGGCAGCAGUGGGGAAUAUUGCACAAUGGGCGCAAGCCUGAUGCAGCCAUGCCGCGUGAGUGAUGAAGGCCCUAGGGUUGUAAAGCUCUUUCAGUGGUGAAGAUAAUGACGGUAGCCACAGAAGAAG